GUUCUUUAUGAUAUUCCAGGAUAAUCCCCUGUUCUCAACAUCCUCAACUCAAUCACAUCUACACAAUUCCUUGUGCCCUGUAACAUGACAUAACAACAGAGUCUGCAGAUCAGGGUGAGCCAUUCUUUUGGUAGCUGUUGUUUGGCUGACCAUAGCCGAGGACUGAGUGAGGGUUGUGAAGGAGAGUAAAGAGGUGUAAAGUAUGAAUGUAGAGGAAAACAACAGAACUGAGGUCACUUAGGGGUCUUCAGACAGGGGUCUGCCAGCCAUGGAAGUUCUGAGGAUUUUAUUCUGGAUAAAGUGGAAAACAUGAAUGGACCGAUGGGCUGUG
rnacentral:lncRNA from 1 species